rnacentral:SRP_RNA from 1 species
GCUGGGUUUCCGCGCAAUCUAAGGUUUCCUACCGUGUCAGGUCCGAAAGGAAGCAGCACCACGAUUCCGAAGAUGUGCCGUGGAAACCCGGCUUU